rnacentral:rRNA from 1 species
UCCGGUGAUAAUGCCUAAAUGGAACCACCUGUAACCAUACCGAACACAGUAGUUAAGCAUUUAGAGGCCGAAAGUACUUGCAUGGAGACGUGCUGGGAAGAUAGGAAGUUGCCGGUU